rnacentral:rRNA from 1 species
CGCUGGCGGCGUGCUUCAUACAUGCAAGUCGAACGAGAAAUUCACUUCGGUGAGUGGAAAGUGGCGGACGGGUGAGUAAUGUGUAGAGAAUCUGCCCUGGAGAGGGGGACAACAGAGGGAAACUUCUGCUAAUACCCCAUAUGCGCGUAGUUGAGAUACUAUUCGUGAAAGAUUUAUCGCUUCAGGAUGAGUCUGCAUCUGAUUAGCUAGUUGGGGGUGUAAUGGACCACCAAGGCGACGAUCAGUAGCUGGUUUGAGAGGAUGAUCAGCCACAAUGGGACUGAGACACGGCCCAUACUCCUACGGGAGGCAGCAGUAGGGAAUUUUGCGCAAUGGGCGAAAGCCUGAACCGCAGCAACGCCGCGUGAUCGCAGACGGCCUUCGGGUUGUAAAAAUCUGUCAGUAGGGACGAACAAUGACUGUACCUACAGAGGAAGCACCGGCUAACUCCGUGCCAGCCGCGGC